AUUGAACGCUGGCGGCAUGCCUUACACAUGCAAGUCGAACGGCAGCACGGGGCAACCUGGUGGCGAGUGGCGAACGGGUGAGUAAUGCAUCGGAACGUGCCCAGUAGUGGGGGAUAACCAGUCGAAAGACUGGCUAAUACCGCAUACGACCCAAGGGUGAAAGCGGGGGACCGUAAGGCCUCGCGCUAUUGGAGCGGCCGAUGUCUGAUUAGCUAGUUGGCGGGGUAAGAGCCCACCAAGGCGACGAUCAGUAGCUGGUCUGAGAGGACGACCAGCCACACUGGGACUGAGACACGGCCCAGACUCCUACGGGAGGCAGCAGUGGGGAAUUUUGGACAAUGGGCGCAAGCCUGAUCCAGCCAUGCCGCGUGCGGGAAGAAGGCCUUCGGGUUGUAAACCGCUUUUGGCAGGAACGAAACGGCGCAGGCCAAUACCUUGCGCUAAUGACGGUACCUGCAGAAUAAGCACCGGCUAACUACGUGCCAGCAGCCGCGGUAAAAC
rnacentral:rRNA from 1 species